UACGUAGGGUGCGAGCGUUGUCCGGAAUUACUGGGCGUAAAGAGCUCGUAGGUGGUUUGUCGCGUUGUUCGUGAAAACUCACAGCUUAACUGUGGGCGUGCGGGCGAUACGGGCAGACUGGAGUACUGCAGGGGAGACUGGAAUUCCUGGUGUAGCGGUGAAAUGCGCAGAUAUCAGGAGGAACACCGGUGGCGAAGGCGGGUCUCUGGGCCGAAAUUGACGCUGAGGAGCGAAAGCGUGGGGAGCAAACAGG
rnacentral:rRNA from 1 species